GACAGAGGUGCCAAGCGUUAGGCGGAAUCACUGGGCUUAAAGCGUGUGUAGGCGGAUCGUUAAGUGCCUUGUGAAAUCCCACGGCUUAACCGCAGAACUGCUCGGCAUACUGGCGGUCUUGAGCCAGCUAGGGGCUACCGGAACAAAUGGUGGAGCGGUGAAAUGCGUAGAUAUCAUUUGGAACGCCAAUGGUGAAAACAGGUAGCUGGGGCUGUGCUGACGCUGAGACACGAAAGCCAGGGGAGCGAACGGG
rnacentral:rRNA from 1 species